rnacentral:lncRNA from 12 species
UGCUCGGGGAACAGAAUGAACUCACUGGCAGAAAGAGUGCCUCGUAGUUAUACUAAGCAUUUGACAAAUUGUGGUUAUUAGGAUGGAAGUCUAAAGGCCACGGGCAGGACCCGGCCUGGCUUCGCUUCUGGAGAAUCGCUGCCAUUGUGACUUCUAGUAUCUGAGCCCCAACCGAGCCAUGAAAGUCAUCAGAGCACAAAGCCCUUCUGUUCUGCUGUGCCAAGAACUCCCUCGUGCACACUCACCCCACGGCCCAGCCUGUGGCCCCCACAACUCAGAACCUCCUGUAUGAGCCUCAGACAGCAAAGCUGUUACAGCAGAUUUUGUUUAAAAAAAAAGGAGAGAGAAGAAAAAGUUUUGGAUGGUCAAUUAGCGAUGUGAGGUACUCCCCAUAAUCAGGAGAGAAACCCUAAUGUGGAGUCUUUUUUUUUUCUUUCUUUCUUUUUAAGAAGUGAAGUCUAGCAACUUCCAAGUUGCAGCCAAAAUGAUCAAAGUUGCCGGCAUUUCGAGGCCAAAGUACUGAGUCCUGUGGUUGAUUCCCUGGGCCUGGCCGGUGUCACUUCCCUGUGCCGAGGACGUGCAGGUGGAGCAGAGCAGAAGGAGACAAGGCUGUGGCAUCUGGGGACUGCACAGGGACAAGCCGUGCCCGGAGAUGGGGAGGAGCUCGCCUGGGGGCUGCCUCCACUAGCAAACCAGCCCACGUGGAGCUGCAUAGCGGCCUCUGCCGCCUUCAUGUCCCCUCACUGCGCCCACCCUGCUCACCUAGCACCAGCUGCCAGACAUCCCCUGUGCCCAGAACCCGCUGAGGUCACUCACACAGCUACUCCCAAACCUGCUACACUCUGCCUCACCUGUUCCUUCCCACGGAAGUUACAGUAACUGGCCAGCUGACCCUGGUGCUCCCGUGAGCCCCCCAACCCCGGCAGGUCCACCCCUUGGGGACUGUGGGUAACGAGCUGCCUUCUGAUCUGAUGGCCGCCUCCCACACCCAAGUGGUAAUAAAACCUACAUUCUCGGGCA